GACUUAAGUAAACUUAGAAUAAUAGGCAGACUAUUUGCACACAUAUAAUUAUAGUGAUCUCCUUCUUUAUGAUACGAUAACAGGUUGUUGGUUACUCCUGUCUCGAGUUUUGUAGUUGACACUCGAUAAGGAUUUGACCGGCAACCAAUGAGUUAUUUUGACCGAUCGACUUUGUCGAACAUGCCAUAUCGACCACGCAUGCAGUUCCCAUGGUAAAGAGUAAACUGCCUUGUGGCGACAGUGCGUGCUGGAUCUGCAAAACAACUUGUUACUUAUGAUCUGGAAUUAAAUAACUAACUCCCUUGCCUGCCAUGGUUUAGUUGUUCGGUUAGGUUGUUGGGAAACCGAUACAGUCUAG
rnacentral:lncRNA from 1 species